rnacentral:rRNA from 1 species
AAGUACGGUCGCAAGACUGAACUUAAGGAAUUGCGGGGAGCACCACAAGGGGUGCGGCGUGCAGUUUAANCUAACUCAACGCAGAAAUCUCACUAGAAGCGACGGCAGGAUGAAGGUCAGUCUGAAGGGCUUACCUGACGAGCCGAGAGGUAGUGCAUGGCCGCCGUCAGCUCGUGCCGUGAGGUGUCCUCUUAAGUGAGGUAACGAGCGAGACCUGCAUCUAUAAUUGCUAACAUCUCUAUAUGGUGAAUGAGCACAUUAUAGGGACUGCCCUGGAAACAGGGAGGAAGGUGCAGGCUACGGUAGGUCUGUAUGCUCCGAAUCUUCUAGGCUACACGCGCGCAACAAUGGUAGAGACAAUGGGCUGCCACUCCGAAAGGAGAAGCUAAUCCUCUAAACUCUAUCUUAGUUCGGAUUGAGGAUUGUAACUCAUCCUCAUGACGCCGGAAUCCCUAGUAAUCGGAAUUCAUCAUAUUCCGGUGAAUAUGUCCCUGCUCCUUGCACACACCGCCCGUCAUUCCAACCGAGCAGGGUUUAAGUGAAACUUACUUUUUUUGAGUAAGCUGAACUUAAGCUCAGUGAGGCGGGACAAGUCGUCACAAGGUAGCCGUAGGGGAACCUGCGGCUG